AUUAUUUAAUAUAUAUAUAUAUUUCACUUUUAAACUGAUGAAUGAUAAUACUACAAGACAAUUUAAAAAGAAGCCUGAUUAAGUAAAAUCUAUGGUUAAUAAAGAAUAUACAAGAUAGCUUUUUCUGAUCUGAAAAAACAUGGGGGUUUAGUUGUGAUUUUUCCUUUUAAACCAGAACCUCCCAAAUGCACAGGAGACAUGUGCUUACAGAUAGCAUGCCAAAGAGCAGCAGCUGCAGAGUUUGCUGGUUCCCAGCCAGACCAAGUUACAGCUGUAGAAGUGUGUGAGUUUAAACUUCUGAGUGCUUCUCUCGUCUUGCUGCUGAACUUCACCACUCAAGGCUCCUGGAGGCCUGCCCUGACUCACUACUGUGUGCUGAGGAGUGAAGCACUAAUGUUUGUGACAUCUUCUGAUUGGGUUUGGAAGUUCAUUUUAACACAUUGCAUAAGGGCAGCAGUGGCUCAAAAAUAAUAUGUGUCAAGGAUUAUUACUGCUGUACUGACUAUGAAUCUGUGCAGUCUUCCACAUUUUACUUACAAUGCUCCAAUUAAUGCUAGAAAUAUUUCUGUCAAAACCAGGUUUCAGAUGUCAUGGUGUUUUUCUAUUCUGUUCAUUCUUAACUACGUCCAUAUUCUUGUUUAGAGUUUAGAGUGAAAGCAUUUUUUUUUAUCUGUAAUUUUUUACCUGUAAUUUAUCAUGUGGAAAUGAUAAAAAAAAAGUACAGAUAAAAUACUGAAAAUGUACCUAAUUUUAUACAAUUAAAAACCUUUUAAUUACCAAAUACUAUGAAUUUAUAAAGUAAUCAAAUUAAUUAUUCAGAAGAAUUUGUCCCUAACUCUAGGUAUUAAUAGGUCAGGUGUUGGUUUCUAUCAUCACUAAUGACUUAAUGCUAAAAAGUAGUCAGUUUGACUAUCUUUCUAAUCAUAUACUAAUCUAAUCUGUCAUCUUCCAUCUUUCAGAAUAUUGAAAGCUACUAGAACGGAUAUUUUCUUAUUUAUCCACAGUGUGUCUCAUAAAUAAAUUUUUAAAAAUGCUACAAAUGGUUAGGAAGUAGACUCUACCUAUAUAUCCACAGGUGGAUUGCACCUAUCUGCACCUAUCCACAGACUCUCAAUUCUGUAUUGUCUUUUGAAUUCAAGACUUUUUCUCUUUUAACUACUACAAGCUCAGCCUGGAAAGAAAGGUUAGAGAGAAUCUCCUCAUUAGCCUCUUUCAUUCUUGCAGUUAGCUCUAGUUGAUCACUGGGAAUAAGCUAAGGAGUAGGUGGGACACAAAUAUCACUCCUCUGAGUUCUCUGGUCAUGAAGAUAUUUUGCAAAAACCCACUCCUCAGGUCUGGGGCUGGAGCUUCAAGGCAGAACCACACCUAAACUUUUGUGAGGGGCCAAAGUUCAGACACACACCUGAUCCUGACCAACUGUAGCCAACCUGGUGUUUUUUUGAUCUCUCUUCUAAGUAGUUUCAAUCUGUUUGUGUAUUGUAGGGUAUUUUGGUAGCUGGAUAACACAUUCUGGAUCUCCUGAUUGAAGUCAGUUGCAUACCUGCUUUUUGUAGCUCUUUAAGUGCUUAUGUAAUGUUAUACCAUUAAGUCAUUGCCAUCUGGGUUAAUCAAGCUCCUAUUGGUUAUAGCAGGUGUGUCAAGAAACUACCAAAAUACCAAAAUAACUUCUUUUCAUGUAAUAAUAAUUUGUCCCUUCUCUUGUGCAACCCAGCUAUUUAAUAACUAGCUACAGUGAUAGGAAAUUUGACAGAACUAUGCCAGGAAUUUCCCAGUGUAUUACUUCAUGUGGUAAUCAAAAGAGGAGUACGAGGUGAAGCACCCCUAUUGGCUGUAGAAGGUCUGAUUCUUUUUUGCUCCCUGUUGGAAUUACAGGUCAUUAUUUUCCUGCUUUCUUUUAGCAUUGAGAGAAUAGUGACACAUACCUGAAUUUAUCAUUUAAUUUUCAAUCACAUUCUCUCCAAAUGUAACAAUUCUCUUCUGAUCUUUGUUGUUACUAAAAUUGCUAUAAUGUGUCUGCCCAUAUGUGUGCCUUAUGGUCCCUCACUUAAAAUGCAUCUCUAGGAACAGUUUGCAAACAUGUUUGUGUUAAGAGAUAAAUGUCACCCGCAUUCUUCUCAACAAAGCCAAAACAAGUGAGAUAUAAGGCAGACAAUUCAAAUGCUACUGAACAGUGGGGGAAGUUGGCUACACACAGGUAUGGCAGGGUAAUUAUCUACCUGCUCGCAAUCUGCCCACAGUUGGAAUUUGAGUUAAUUUUAUUUACUCUUUCAAAGAAAAAUUGAAGCCCCAAGAAUAGAUGACUCCCACAAACUUCUCCAAAAAAAUAAAGUUUAAAUUCUGUUCAGAGUAUUCAGUCUUUAUUCUGCAGUAUAUUGCCCUGCAUCUUAUGUGGUUAUGUGGUUAUGACCACAUACAUUUGCAGGAGAAAUAACCUGGGUACAGAGGCAUCAACCCAAUCUCUGAAACUUGACUUUUCUUUUAAGAACUCCACUUAAAGAUAUUUUGAUAGGGAUAAAUUUUUUUUUUUGCUCUUUGUGAAUAUUUCUAGUGCCUCACUGUAAAUGUAAAGUGCCAUUUCAUUCAUUGUAAUCUGCUUGGUAAUCUGCUUGGCUUCAAUAUUAGCAGUCUUCUAACAAAGAACAUAUAUUGUCCCAGAUAUUAUAAUGCAUUAGAUAACCUAGGUUGCCUCUCUUAUUUUGUUCCAGUUAUCUGUGUUUUCUACUGUUGCAUACUGAAAAGAUGCAUGGAAUGAGCUAAGCAAAAUGAAAGAUUGUUGCUUAUUUUUUCACUCUAGUACAUGUGUUUGCCAUGCAAGUGAUAUUCUUAAGUUUCCUUGGAUUCCACCCUCCAAUAUUUUCAUUGUGCCCUUAGGCCUAUGCAAUCCUGCUUCUAUUCAGCUAUUGUCAUUAACGUAUAUUUGGCCAUUUUACCUGCUUUACUGAUGAAUUCAGCCUCCAUGCCACAGUUUACCACUGCUAUGGAAUACUUUUGGCUUGACAAAGCAUUAGCAUCUCUGCAUUUACCUUAGCAUUUAGGUAUCUCAAGAUACCUAAAUCUCUGCAAGAUUUAGGUAUCUUGAGAUACCUACAAGAAAUCUCUAUGUGCAGAGGCAGCUGAAAGUUGUUUUUGCACAAGGAUAACACUUAAACUUUUUGUAGUUAGAUCUCUGCAAAAAUUGUUUUGAUUUGCAGGUGAUUUUUAAGGAAGAAAGCAAGAUGAAAAAUAUUGUGUAAUCAUAUCCAAACAUUUUAAAUCUGUAAGACACAUACACGCACACACUCUUGCAUUUCAACUUUGUGGCUUAAUUGUUAGUCAUUACCAGGAAUGUUUUGGUUUUGAAUAAAUUUCAUUCUGUCACUUGUUCCUCCUGCUCUGACUAUUUUUAUUUUGGCAUACAUCCCCAUUUGUAACCAAUAUUUCCUUUUGCCUGCUUGCCCUUCCUGGAGGCUGAUAUACAGAUGGUGGCAAGCUCUAAGGGGGUAGGGAGAAUGCUAUCUGCUCAACACUAUCAAUCUCUUUACUCUUUUGUCUUUCAGAUCUUGUUCCCCUGUUUCUAAUCAUUGCCUUUAAGCAAUUCUAAAGCUGUUCCUUCUCUUGCAUUGUAAAUAAUUUUGAGCAUGGAUUUUUGGGUUUGGUGUUCUGUAUUCCAUUUGUCCCUUUUAGGUAAAACUCUGACACAGAAAAUAUCUCUAAGGCUGGCAACAAGGUUUGCAAGUUCUAAAUGUAGGUUGCUUUCAUUCCCUUUUUUUUUUUUUUUUUUUUUUUUUUUUGGGGCAUUUCUGUUCCAAAUAGACUGUCAUUACAGAAGUAACUUUAAUGCUUCAUAAAGCACAAAUCCUCUUUGGCUUCUCUGCAUGGUCUCCAAUAUCAAACGUUUCCUUUCUUGUACUUUUGUCCCCAAAAGGUCUUUAAGAAUGAGACCUGUCUGGAUCCCACAUGAAUUUCCCUUUUUUCAACACCCAUAGUUGGUUAAUAACCUGGUCAAGUCUUUCUUUUGUGACUACUGUUUAUUUGCUCCCAUAUAUUCUAUAUAUUGAUGGGAACCUCAAUAUAAUUCAGGCUGUGCAGCAUCUGAUUGUAACAGAUUGGUUUUCACUCCCAGAAAGCAGCACAUCAAAGCAGACACAGAUCAAUAAUACUUUCCCCUUCCUAUCCGUGGAUAGUGUUGCAGGUUUCUGUUCAACAGCCAUAAGAAAAUGCCUACAAAAAUCCAGAUAGUGAUCACUAAGUAGCAAAUACAGAAUCAAACAACUGGCACAGUACCUGGCACAUGAAGUAUCACUUGAAGAGCAAGUUGUCGGUUCUUAGUAAAAAAAAACUUGAAGUGUGCAUCCUUAAGAGCCUUUUUCCCCCCCUUCUCACUUCUUCCCUUUUACUUGGGCUCCUUCACGUGGUGCUAUUCUCCCUUUUUAUACUGUAGUUCUGAUAGUGAAUGCUUCCAGUCCCAGCUAGUCAUCACAGGAUGCAAACGUUAAAUGAAAACUUUUUCAAUUAAAUUUUACAUUGGUUGAUCAGCCAGAAGUGGGAAAUAUUUAGGUGAAUAUGAGUAGUGGGUACCUGGAUGGCAAUUAGUGUCAACUUCCAAUGCCCUGAGGCAGGGACUCAAAUAUUUCACCUGUGGAGGAGGGGGUCAGGGCUUUUUCAUCCAUUCUUUUCUUUGCCUUUUAAUUCCCUAACUCCCAUAAUCUGGCAAUGUAUUAUGCAGCACAGACCAGGAAGGUGGGCUGCAGUAAAUGCUGCUUUAUGGAUCAAGCAGUAGGAAGUGCUAUACUCUUCCCCCCAGAGACUGAAGGCUUUACAUCAAUCAGCAUACUGACAAUGACUGCUUUUGAACUUACCUGUAGUAUAGCAGUGUGGAAAAUCAUUAUCCAGCAUUCAAUUUUUUAAAGAACACACAUAAUUUGAACACUGAAGCACCAUACGGCCAUUUUGUCUGACUCUGAGCACCUUUUUGAUUCAUCGCCUCUCUCUGUGCCACAAGGAGGAGACAGGAUGUAUUCUUUGCCUUUUGCGUAUGGUGGCCAAAUCAUCUCACAUCCUAUAAUGAAGUGUGAGGAGAUUUAUGCCAUCAACACUGGUGUAAAUUAAAAUACAGCACAAAAUUCUUCAAUUCUUGUUAGGCAUGAAAUUUGAAAUGAAUUUGAGUAUUCUCUAGCAUAGAAACUCAAUGGAUGGCAAAUAAUAAGUGCUGUUCUGUGGAAUAAAUUAAAAUCUUAAUUUUGUUUUGCUAUGAAUUAUGUGAUGGGAUACGGUCUUGAGAAUUAUACAAAGGUACAAAUAUGAAACCUAGCACUUAUUAAUCAGGAUCUUUCACAAUACAUAUUUAGUUGCAGAUCCAAGAAUGUGCUCUGUCUAUGUCUGAAUUCAUUUCACUGAGGGAUCAAGACUGUCAUACACAGGAUCAAUUGCAUAGAGAGCUCUGUUUAGCUUCAGAUUCCUCAUUUGAAAUAACUACUGCAUGGACUGAAAACAAUAGCAAGAAUUCAAAGACAAUUACACACUUUCCAUUGAUGAGGGAAAAUCCAGCUUGAAUCUUCAGAGCAAGUUGACAGCUUCAUCUUUGAAGAACAGAUUAUUUCACAGCUACUCUGUAGAAUAGGUUCUCUCUUGCUAGUCACUGGUUCUGUAUUCUAGAUAAUGGGAGUGCUGUGUGUAAUCACUCUUGGUCCUCAUCCAGACCAAGGAAAAAAAGGUUCUUAAUUUCAUAUAUUUUUUGCAGGAGUAGUAAUUUAAUCUCCUAUUUGCUUUUUAUUGUUCAAUUUCUCUGUAUUUCCCUAGUUAAUUCAGUACUCAGGUCUUGCCAAGCUUAACUCUUUAUUGGUGGACUUGACUGUGAGAAGAGAAGAAAUGCUAAUGCUUACAUUCAAGAAAUAAUAGACAAGCUGGACACAUUUUUCUUUAUUAACUUCAUUUAUUUUUGUAGUUUGAGCUAAUAGGGGUUUUUUCAAAAAUUUCACUCUAGUGAGAGUCCAAGACUAUGCCAUCUUCUUAGUAUUUUGUGUAUCUCUGAUCUAAAGAUGUACAUUAAACAAGCCAUUGUUUCUGAGACAAAUCUUCUAGUGGCGAAUCUUCUACUGACAAAUCUUAUAGUGGUCUGCAUUGUUCUUUUAACUUCACCUAGGCAACUGUUCAGAUCAAACUGCAAAGCCUACCUCAUUACUGAUACUUGCUCCACUCACCUCGUAAUUAUUUCUUGGUUCCGCUAGAAAUAGGAAGGCUGAGGGAAAAAACUGAAAAUAAAGGAAAGAAAAGUUGAAAUAUUUCAGGGUAGUAAGUUGUGAACCAUCUGUAUCUUAGAAGGUAUUUUUUGUUAAUUUUUUCAUUGUAUUUCAAUCCUAUAGAAAUAAGCUUCACAGGCUAAGAUUUCCCCAAUUCAGAAUAGGCUCCUGGAGGAACAAUUUCCAUACAGUCCUGCAAGUGCCCUUAAGGGUCUGCUACUCAGUGACCCUUCUUUUGACUGAGGAGCCCUGGAAAUCGCUCUUUUGCAGUUGUCUGUCAACAUUGUUUUGUGUUUCAGCCAGAAAGCAUCAUCCCAAGGUGACAAUAGACUUUGUUUAUUUGAAGUCUUCUUUUGUCUUCUUUGAAGUCAGUGGCAGCACUAUCUGCCUAAGGAUUGCAAGAUUUUGCAUUCCCAAAGCCUGUGAGCAUUACUGAGUUUUAACUGUUUUUAUUGCAUUAGAUCAAAACUCUGAUCAAAUGUAAACUGCCAGAAAAUUUCAGAUAUGCUUUCUACAUGGUAUAGAAGACUCCUGGUUGACAUGUCAAAGUUAGGUCUUACCUCUUUCUGUUCUCAUGGUAAUACUUGUACCCCAGAGCUUAAUGUGUGCAUAGCUGACAUCAGUAUGUAUCCUCUUCUGUCUAAACCUAACAGAAUAAUUACUGUGGUUUUAGUUAGUGUUUUUCACUUUGUACUCAGUAAUGCUGAGACUAAAAUAACAGAAAUUGGUCAACAAAUGCCCGUCUGUAAAAUGUGAGACAUGAUUCUUCCCACCUCAUUUUUCUGGAAAGAAUACCAACUUUUCCCAAGGCAUUUGUAUUCUCUGUAUGUUGCUCUGUUUGGCUUCAUUUGAAUGUGUGAGCACUGAAGAUGUAGGAAACAGAAGAAAGGCUAUUUGAAGCAGGACAUCUAAUUGUUUCUUGAAUGACCUCCAAGGUCUUUGUGGAAUGAGAUUGUUGUUUUCUGUGUACAGAAGAGCAUCCACAUUCUAUUCAUUUAUUGUAACUUAAUUAUAGGAUGCAUGUAAUAAUUUGGAGACAGUCAAUGAAUUUGCCUCUCAUGCAAGCCAUCACAGGACUCUGGGAAACAGAUGCACAUGUUCAUUUAUUGUAAAAUACUCAGAUUAAUUAUUUCACCUGAUAUCUGUACUUGUAAACUGCCAGCUGAAGCUGAGGAUGACAAUGAGCCACAGAUGACAUAUAUUAGGUAUGGUCUACCCACUCUACUGAAGGCAUUUUGAUACUAUGUGAGUAGCAGCAUUGUAGAAUGGUAGGAUUAAAGCCCAUUUUAUGCUUGCCAGUUAUUGUGUUCCUCUUUUCCAUGCUACAUCAAACCAUUUUUUUAAAGAUUCAUUUGGUCACAAAUGACAACAUAUAUGCUACAGUAUUUAUCCACUGCUCCUCUCUGUAAUUGUAGCGUAGUGAGAGUAAUAAGAUGUGUUUGUGUUUUUACUGUAGUUUAAUUUCAUUUCAGAACUAUGUGUUCUCUCAUUUGCUAUUUUCUGGAAAAAGCAUUAUUGGCUCCACAUUUUUCUGAACUAUUAGUAAUAUAAUCUUUCUCUACUAGAAGCAGUCAGGAAUGUGUCAUUGCUUUCAACAGGUGCUGUCUUGCCUUUGUGCAAAAUGACUGUGUUAUGGAACAGUGAGCCUGUUGAAGAGCCCUUUUGCUUUCAAGUAUCUGUAGUGCUUGAAGUUUGGGCUUGUUGCUAGUUUUCAAAUGUUGUUUUAUAUGUGAAUUGCAUGAAAGCAGUACAUGGUUUAUAUACUAUUUAGUCUGCAAAGAGUAUUAAAUUUAAGUAUCUCUUUAGUGUCUCUUUAAAUGCAAUUUGAUUACUUUUUAAAACUCGAAGUAAUAUUUAAUAACUGUUAGUAUUCUUUUAGAGAGUUCUUACCAAGGAAACAGGAGUUCUUACAGCUACAUGGAUAAUUAACUUGAAGCUUGUCUGUCUCUUGGGGAACAUCAGAUAUGUAAAUGAGGAACUUAAGUCUGAACAAGACAUGCCAGGGAAUCACUAAAAGUUUUAUUACACUGAAGCAUUGGUAUUAAAAUCCUAAAUGUUAAAAUAUACUAUUAUAAACCAGUGCAUUUUAAAGAGCAAAGAUGUGUGGGGAUUUUAUUAAAAUUUACAAUAUGAAAUCAUAACAGUAUGUAGAUUUUUUUUUUUAGGAGAUUCAGUGAAAUUUUGAAACCUUCAGUAAAAAGCAUGGACUGUUAUGGAAAAAUAUAUAAUAAUACUUUCUUUCAGUAUCAAAAUUUUAAAGAAAUAAAUGUGCAUAAUAAGCAAUUUUCCCUCUCCCCAGUUCCAGAAUUGAAGCUGAUUGUACAAUCUAUCACAUAAUAUGUCAUGCCAUACUGAGAGCUAUCCAGGUGAAGGAAGGUUACAUUUCUGUUGUUGCUGAGAAGAGAUAUAUAACUUGCAGGAAAGUUAAAGCUUGCUUGGAGGAGACACUGUGCCUUUCCACACUUGGAGGAUUUAUCUGUAUCUCAGAAAUGGCUUAACUUAAGGCUACAUUAAAAGAUUGCUGGAUGUGGAAAGAACUUUGUAGUGCACUGCAUCGCGAUUGUUCAGACUUCAAAGCAGCCCUUAGAAAAACUGUAAAUAAGGACUAAGGCAUAAAAAUAUACCAGCACCUGGGAAUACUCAGCACACUGCACACCAGAACAGAAUCCAAGCCCUGGCAAAGAGCCAGCCACCGGGAAUAAAUCUGGAAGGGUUUAAUACAUGCUGAAGAACCGAACCACUUUGAAACAAACUAGAGUAUAUGAAGUGUCUGGAUUUUAUGUGCAGCAGCCAACAUGUUGUGAACAUUCCUUAUGUUAUGGAAAAAAAAAAAAAAAGAGUUUUCCAGGCUGAGUAUGGGUGAAACAUGCUGUGAGAAGAGAUCCAGAGCUGCAGAGUGCAUCAAAUUCCACUGUCAAAACAGUGAAUGCUGGGAAAAGGCCACUGGCUUAGUUGUGGCCUUAACAUAUCUCAGAGCAGUCAGAAAGCCCUUGGCAGGAUGACUUGGGUCUCUCUCCAUGUCAAUGACAAAUAUGAAGGUAAGCUGGGCAAUGAUCUGUCCUGUGAUCUGAUGAUGAAAGAAGUCGCCAUAGAAAUAUAAGAUAAAGAUGAGGAGGAAAUUUGUUUUGUGUAAUUUUUGAAUGUAUUUUGUGUAGCUUGUCUUUAGGUCCCAUACUUUUCUGGAUGCAUGCCAUAUGAUUUGAUGUUUUGCAGUUGUUCAGCUGAGGUGUAUGGAUACAUCUCCUCAAUAUUUGAUCUCAGUAUUCUGGCUGGUAUGUAAAAGAAUGAAAAUGUCAGAUUUAAUCACAAGAUAGAUUCUGUUUUCAUCACUAUACAAGGUGUUAUCUUCCUUGUUUAAAGUGAGUCCUGAAAAAAUAUAUUGUAAGCAGAAUUGUCAUUCCAAAUGAUCUUGUAUUGCUGUUACUGCAAAUGAGUUCCAGAAUGGAAUGCAAAAGGUGCCUAGUGACACUUGGCAGGAUGAUCAUUUACAAUAGUGAGAUCACUCACUGCUGCAGUACAGGCCAUAUUUUAUGGUAGUUUUCCCAGUAACUUCUUUGCUGUACAUAAAAUUUUAUUUUUAUUCCAGAACAGGAUGGAAAUUUACUUCCUUUUCCUGCUUAUUGACAAAAUACACAGCAUAUGAUAAAGACAGAAAUAGAGUUCAUGCUGUAGAAAAUGGCGUGUCAUUAAAAAAUGGGAUAAUAUAACCUUUGUCUAAUGGUAUUUAUUUAUACUCAUUUAUGAUGACAAUACAAAAAUUUUUACUUUGAGUUCUUACUAUUUAUAUUGUGUAUUCAUUUUACACAUUUGUAUUGAAUGUAACCAGGCCACAGUUUAUUGUUUUUUCAUUUGAGUUUAAAUGAACAAACCAAGACCUUUUUAUGAUCUUUUCGGUCUUGUUCACUCAGGAGGAUUCAUGUUACAUAAUUUUAUGAUAAGUGGUGCUUGUGGUGUCUGAUGAUAAAUUGCUGGUUCUCUCUCAUAAUAAAUAACAAGAAAAAUUGA